AGGAUUUCUACUAUGUCCAUAUCGAGCCCCGGCUUUUCGUACACGCUGUCACCGAGGCGGGAAGGACUACUGGGCUCACAUGACCAGAGGCCAAGGGUCGACCCGAAGCCCCGGAACCAGCGGCAUUCCCAGGCAGCAGAAGACAUUCUGAAAUCAAGAUUCCAGAGGCUACAGCUCUCUCUCUACAUACUGUACCUGAAUCUGCUCCAAGACUUCUCGCCGCAUUUCCACAGCCAUAUGGUAUAUGUGAUGAUCAGAGUCAUUGUACAUUACAGCAUUUUGGAACAUCAGCAUCAGAUCUCGCUGGAAUUGGGCCACGAUGAAAAGAGGAUCAAGUGAACAUUAUGACAACAUUAAUGAGACAGAGAAAGUAGAUGUAUAAGAGAAGGCACAGCAGUUUAGAAAGAAGACUGAACCGGAGAUGGAGUUUUGCUCUUGCUGCCCAGGUUGGAGUGCAAUGACAUGCCAACUGCAAACUUCGCCUCCCGGGUUCAAGUGAUUCUCCUGCCUCAGCCUCCCAAGUGGCUGGGAUUACAGGCAACUGCUAAUUUUUGUAUUUUUAGUAGAGAUGGGGUUUUACCACGUUGUCCAGGCUGGUAUUGAACUCCUGACCUCAGGUGAUCCACUUACCUUGGCCUCCCAAAAUGCUGGGAUUACAGGCAUAAGCCCCUGUGCCUAGCCUAUGUUCUAAUUUUUCAUCUCAAAUGUCAACUCUGAUCAAUUGAGACUGGCUGUCUAAAAAAAAAAAAAAGACAGUGGCUGUCUAGAAUAAAGUGUUGAAAAUUUUGUCUACCACAGACACUGUAGAGAGAAGUGGUAACGUUUGAACUGGAUGCUUGCUGAUCUUGACCUAAGUUCUCCUAAAUGUGUUCAGUAACAGCAUAUAUGUAACUCUCUGUCCAAUUCUGUUUAUUUCCGGUCCUCAGUCCUUAACAAGGUAAUGACUUUAAAAUACUACCUUAAAGUCACAACACUUUAAGCUUCAAGGAAAAUUUGGGCAAGUAUGACUUCCCACAACUCCAAAAGCAUGAAUUACAAGGAUACUCAUAAAGCAGUCCUUAUGACCCAAGCCCCUAGUGACUGAGGUAUUAGAAAUUCAGUCAAAAAGCACGUAUUUAUUUUUUAUUUUUGAGACAGAGUCUCACUCUGUUGCCCAGGCUGGAGUGCAGUAGUGUGAUGUUGGCUCACUGCAACCUCUGCUCCGGGAUUCAACUGUUUCUCCCACCUUAGCCUCCUGCCUAGUUGGGAUUACAGGUGCAUGCCACCAUGCCCAGAUAAUUUUUGUAUUUUUAGUAGAAACGGGGUUUUACCAUGUUGGCCAGGGUGGUCUCAAACUCCUGACCUCAAGUGAUCCACCGGCCUUGGGUUCCCAAAGUGCUGGGAUUACAGGUGUCAACCACUGCACCCAGCCCAAAAUGCAUGUAUUUGGUGCAUAUUCUCUAUCGGCACAAAGUGCUGGGGACUCAGCAAUGAACUUAGUCCCUGCCACUGUGAAGUUUAUAUUUUAGUAAACAAUAUUAAAAGUGGUAGAAGCAUGUAAGGAUAAGCAUUCUCUUAGAAAGUUGAGGCCUCCAGCUUUGGAAAUAACAGCUCACAGUUACCUCA